rnacentral:rRNA from 1 species
AUUCCGUCGGAAUCUGGGAGGACCAUCUCCUAAGGCUAAAUACUCUCUAGUGACCGAUAGUGAACCAGUACCGUGAGGGAAAGGUGAAAAGCACCCCGGAAGGGGAGUGAAAUAGAACCUGAAACCGUGUGCUUACAAGUAGUCAGAGCCCGUUAAUGGGUGAUGGCGUGCCUUUUGUAGAAUGAACCGGCGAGUUACGAUUUGAUGCAAGGUUAAGCAGUAAAUGUGGAGCCGUAGCGAAAGCGAGUCUGAAUAGGGCGUUUAGUAUUUGGUCGUAGACCCGAAACCAGGUGAUCUACCCUUGGUCAGGUUGAAGUUCAGGUAACACUGAAUGGAGGACCGAACCGACUUACGUUGAAAAGUGAGCGGAUGAACUGAGGGUAGCGGAGAAAUUCCAAUCGAACCUGGAGAUAGCUGGUUCUCUCCGAAAUAGCUUUAGGGCUAGCCUCAAGUGAUGAUUAUUGGAGGUAGAGCACUGUUUGGACGAGGGGCCCCUCUCGGGUUACCGAAUUCAGACAAACUCCGAAUGCCAAUUAAUUUAACUUGGGAGUCAGAACAUGGGUGAUAAGGUCCGUGUUCGAAAGGGAAACAGCCCAGACCACCAGCUAAGGUCCCAAAAUAUAUGUUAAGUGGAAAAGGAUGUGGCGUUGCCCAGACAACUAGGAUGUUGGCUUAGAAGCAGCCAUCAUUUAAAGAGUGCGUAAUAGCUCACUAGUCGAGUGACACUGCGCCGAAAAUGUACCGGGGCUAAACAUAUUACCGAAGCUGUGGAUUGUCCUUUGGACAAUGGUAGGAGAGCGUUCUAAGGGCGUUGAAGCAUGAUCGUAAGGACAUGUGGAGCGCUUAGAAGUGAGAAUGCCGGUGUGAGUAGCGAAAGACGGGUGAGAAUCCCGUCCACCGAUUGACUAAGGUUUCCAGAGGAAGGCUCGUCCGCUCUGGGUUAGUCGGGUCCUAAGCUGAGGCCGACAGGCGUAGGCGAUGGAUAACAGGUUGAUAUUCCUGUACCACCUAUAAUCGUUUUA